rnacentral:tRNA from 1 species
GCCUGUUUGGCUCAGUGGAUAGAGCGUCAGCCUGCAGACUGAAGGGUCCCUGGUUUGAUUCCAGUCAAGGGCA